rnacentral:lncRNA from 1 species
AUGGUGUUUUGCAUCCUCCCACUUCCUCCUCCAGAAGUCCUACUUCAAAACAAAGAAAGGAUCCUCACUGUGCUGUCAUGGAUGCUGUCAUGUCCUCACUUUGCUGUCAUGGAUGGCUACGUGCUUUUUAGGAAAGACAGGCCAGGAAAGCGAGGUGGUGGAGUUGCUCUUUAUGUGAGAGAGCAACUGGAAUGCAUCGAGCUGUGCCUAGGGGUGGAUGAAGAGCGAGUCGAGAGCUUAUGGGUAAGGAUUAAAGGGCAGGCUAGCAUGGGUGACACUGUUGUGGGUGUUUACUACAGGCCACCUGAUCAGGAAGAGGAAGUCGAUGAGGCCUUCUACAGACAGCUGGAAGUAGCCUCACGAUCCCAGGCCCUGGUUCUCAUGGAGGACUUCAACCACCCCGAUAUCUGCUGGAAAGACAACACAGCUAGGCACAAACAGUCCUGGAGGUUCCUGCAGAGCAUUGGUGACAACUUCUUGACACAGGUGGUGGAGGAGCCAACAAGGAGAGGUGUGCUGCUGGACCUGGUACUAACAAACAAAGAAGGACUGGUGGAAGAUGUGAAGGUCAGGGGCAGCCUUGGCUGCAGUGACCAUGAGAUGGUGGAGUUCAGGAUCCUGCGAGGAAGCAGCAGGGCACUAAGUAGGAUCGCAACCCUGGACUUCAGGAGAGCAAACUUUGGCCUCUUCAGGGACAUACUUGGAGGAAUCCCAUGGGUUAGGGCCCUAGAAGGAAGGGGGGUCCAAGAGAGCUGGUUAAUAUUCAAACAUCACCUCCUCCAGGCUCAAGAGCGGUGCAUCCCUAUGAGUAGGAAGUCAAGCAAAGGAGGUGGGAGACCUGCAUGGAUGAGCAAGGAGCUCCUGGCAAAACUCAACCAGAAGAAGGAAGUAUACAGAAAGUGGAAAGGGGGACAGGCCACUUGGGAGGAAUACAGGAACGUUGUCAGAGUAUGCAGGGAUGUGACGAGGAAGGCUAAGGCCCGUUUGGAAUUAAAUCUGGCGAGAGAUGUCAAGGACAACAAGAAGGGCUUCUUCAAAUACAUCAGUAGCAAGGGGAAGACUAGGGAAAAUGUGGGCCCUUUGCUGAAUGGGGUGGGUGCCCUGGUGACAAAGGAUGCAGAGAAGGCAGAGUUACUGAAUGCCUUCUUUGCUUCAGUCUUUACUGCUCAGGCCAGCCCUCAGGAACCCCAGACCCUGGAGGCAAGAGAGAAAGUCUGGAGAAAGGAAGACUUUCCCUUGGUGGAGGAGGAGUGGGUUAGAGAUCAUUUAAGCAAACCUGACACCCACAAAUCCAUGGGCCCCGAUGGGAUGCACCCACAAGUGCUGAGGGAGCUGGCGGAUGUUAUUGCUAAGCCACUCUCCAUUAUCUUUGAAAGGUCAUGGAGAACAGGAGAGGUGCCUGAAGACUGGAAGAAAGCCAAUGUCACCGCAGUCUUCCAAAAGGGCAAGAAGGAGGACCCAGAGAACUACAGGCCAGUCAGCCUCACCUGCAUCCCUGGAAAGGUGAUGGAGUAG